UGCGUAGGCGGAAGAUUAAGUCAGUGGUGAAAUCUUUCGGCUCAACCGAGAAACUGCCAUUGAUACUGUUAGUCUUGAGUUCGGUUGAGGUAGGCGGAAUGUGUAAUGUAGCGGUGAAAUGCUUAGAUAUUACACAGAACACCAAUUGCGUAGGCAGCUUACUAGACCGACACUGACGCUGAGGCACGAAAGCGUGGGGAGCGAACAGGAUUAGAUACCCUGGUAGUCC
rnacentral:rRNA from 1 species